UCACCCAUUGGUUUCUGCAAAGUGAGAAUGAGGCUAGUAGGAGGCGUUCCCCCAGCGCCAUCUUGCCGGUGCUUACUCCUCCUCGUUCCUGGCUAACGAAUCAAUGGGCAAGGAGGAGGAGCGCGAGUGAAGACUGACAGCCGAGCGAUGCUCGCGGAGCUCAGCGUUUCCAGGUUAGCUCAGGGCUAAGGAGCUAGGCUACAUGCUACCCGACGCUGCUAACCGGUUAGCGCUGUGCUGUAGCUGGUCCGGCUGGUCGCGAUCUUUACGAACUCACUGGAGAGGGAAGUGGAGAGACUUGAUGUGGACUGUUAUCAACAGCUCUGUGGGAGAUUAUCACCUUGAAUAUUACAGAUGAGAUGAAGCACUGCAGCACCGGAUCUGUCCUCAGCAGCAACAUGGUGGAGAUCGGCAGCUUCAGGCUGGUCAACACGAGGACGACCUGCACAAGCUUCAACGGCCCAACACUUCACGUUUUCUCCCUCAACUAAAGAUGGCCUGCAACUGUUUAGAGUUGGCAAUCAUUGCUAUGUGUCAUGGAUAAUAGAUUUAAUUUCUAUCUUCAUUAUGGUUGGUUAAAAAAAUUAUUAUCUUUUACAAUCUGAUUUGAUACACUUUAGAUAAAAACCCAGUGCUUUAUUUUUCUAAUUCCCCAUAAGAGACACAACACCGUCAGCACAGCUGAGUCCUUCAGGCUAGAAAUGUACAGUACACAGUUCAUGCUAAAAUUGUAGUUGCCAUGUAACAAUCAAGUUGCUUGAUAACUCAGAAGUUAUUAAAACAUUUCUGUGUA